rnacentral:rRNA from 1 species
GGAUGCGAUCAUACCAGCACUAAAGCACCGGAUCCCAUCAGAACUCCGAAGUUAAGUGUGCUUGGGUGAGAGUAGUACUAGGAUGGGUGACCUCCUGGGAAGUCCUCGUGUUGCAUUCCA